UACGGAGGGGGCUAGCGUUGUUCGGAAUUACUGGGCGUAAAGCGCGCGUAGGCGGACCUGCAAGUCGGGGGUGAAAGCCCGAGGCUCAACCUCGGAACUGCCUUCGAUACUGCGGGUCUCGAGUCCGGGAGAGGUGAGUGGAAUUCCUAGUGUAGAGGUGAAAUUCGUAGAUAUUAGGAAGAACACCAGUGGCGAAGGCGGCUCACUGGCCCGGUACUGACGCUGAGGCGCGAAAGCGUGGGGAGAAAACAGG
rnacentral:rRNA from 1 species